rnacentral:rRNA from 1 species
UGAGGAAUAUUGGUCAAUGGACGCAAGUCUGAACCAGCCAAGUAGCGUGCAGGAUGACGGCCCUAUGGGUUGUAAACUGCUUUUAUAUGGGAAUAAAGUGAGGGACGUGUCUCUUAUUGCAUGUAUCAUACGAAUAAGGACCGGCUAAUUCUGUGCCAGCAGCCGCGGUAAUACGGAAGGUCCAGGCGUUAUCCGGAUUUAUUGGGUUUAAAGGGAGCGUAGGCUGUUUGUUAAGCGUGUUGUGAAAUGUAAGAGCUCAACUUUUAGAUUGCAGCGCGAACUGGCAGACUUGAGUGCGCACAACGUAGGCGGAAUUCAUGGUGUAGCGGUGAAAUGCUUAGAUAACAUGACAAACUCCGAUUGCGGAGGCAGCUUACGGGAGCGCAACUGACGCUAAAGCUCGAAGGUGCGGGUAUCGAACAGG